rnacentral:rRNA from 1 species
GAUGAACGCUGGCGGCGUUUCUAAUACAUGCAAGUCGAGCGAACAGACGAGGCUCUUGCUCCUCUUCUGUUACCGGCGGAUGGCUGAGUAACACGUGGAUAACCUACCUCUAAGACUGGCCUAACUUCGUGAUACCGGUGCUAAUUCCGGAUAACAUCAUGCAUCGCAUCGCUCCACUGUGAAAGACCGCCUUCCUGUCACUUCUUGAUUGACCCGCGCCUCAUUAGCUAGUUGGUCAGAUAACGGCCUACCAAGGCUACGAUGCCUAGCCGAACUGAGAGGGUGAUCGGACGCACUAGAACGGAGACACGGUCCAGACUCCUACGGGAGGCAGCAGUAGGUGAUCUUGAGAAUAGAGCGAAAGCCUGAAGGAGGAAAGCCGCGAGAGUGAAGAAGGUGUACGGAUCUUGAAACUCUGUUAUUAGGGAAGAACAAAUGUGUAAGUAACUAUGGAAGAGUUGGCGGUACCGAAGCAGAAGGCAUACGCAAAAUACGUG